rnacentral:rRNA from 1 species
UUUAAUUACACCCCCUCUCGCCCGGGAACUACGAGCCAAGCUUAAAACCCAAAGGACUUGACGGUACCCCACAUCCACCUAGAGGAGCCUGUCCUAUAAUCGAUAACCCCCGUUUAACCUCACCAUUUUUAGCUAUUCAGCCUGUAUACCUCCGUCGUCAGCUUACCACGUGAGCGUCAGUGAGCUCAAUGUUCUUCAACCACACGUCAGGUCAAGGUGCAACUCAUGAAAUGGGAAGAGAUGGGCUACACUCUCUAUUUUAGACUAUACGAAAGACUACCAAUGAAAAUUUGUCGGAAGGCGGAUUUAGCAGUAAAAAGAAACCAAAGAGUUCUUUUAAAUCUGGCACUGGGGUGUGUACACACCGG